rnacentral:rRNA from 1 species
ACCGGCAGCUCAAGUGGUGGCCAUUUUUAUUGGGCCUAAAGCGUUCGUAGCCGGUUUGAUAAGUCUCUGGUGAAAUCCCGCAGCUUAACUGUGGGACUUGCUGGAGAUACUAUUAGACUUGAGGUCGGGAGAGGUUAAGUGUACUCCCAGUGGAGGGGUGAGGUCCGAAAACCCUGGGGGGAAUACCCGUGGCGAAGGCCCCUAGGUGGAACGAAGCUACGGUUGGGCAACCACAGCGAGUGAAACGAGCGG